rnacentral:rRNA from 1 species
UACGAAGGGGGCUAGCGUUGCUCGGAAUCACUGGGCGUAAAGGGUGCGUAGGCGGGUCGUUUAAGUCAGGGGUGAAAUCCUGGAGCUCAACGUCCAGAACUGCCUUUGAUACUGAAGAUCUUGAGUUCGGGAGAGGUGAGUGGAACUGUCGAGUGUAGAGGUGAAAUUCGUAGAUAUUCGCAAGAACACCAGUGGCGAAGGCGGCUCACUGGCCCGAUACUGACGCUGAGGCACGAAAGCGUGGGGAGCAAAGCAGGA